ACUAUAAAUGCUGGAGUCAGAAAGUAAACUUCCUUUUGGCUCUUCACCUUGAGAGCAGCGGCGCGCGCCUGUGUUCUUUCGUGUUCCAUAGCGACAUCUGGUGACCGCCGAAGUGUACUGCAGCCUAGGCUGAGACACGGAUUCGGAUUGCGGGGGAGUGUUCCCUCCAGAGUGUCCCCAGCAAUGCAUAAUUGCCAUGUGUGAUGGGAGUUUCACUGCUUCAAGGAGUCUGAGGACAUCGGUUGUGAUGGCUAACAGCUGGUCUGAGGGCCUCACAGACACAAGUAACCUUGACCUUUACUUGAUCAGCCUGUACCUGUGAGGAAAGGAAGUAAACAUCUUGAAGGAAGAAAGCACUGAGGUGCGGAAGGACUUAGCUGCAGGGAAUGGAUGCUGGACAAUCUUUGAUGAGCACGUACAUAGGCAGCUAUUGGACAGUGAACUGGGUGGCAACAAGUUACUAGCCAAUUGGGAAAACGUGCAGGUUUUGAAAACCAUAUAAAUAUGAUCAGUGAACAAUGAAGAUCGCUAAGCCACUUCAACCUUGGAGUGUCAUGUCCAUCUCUACUGCGACAUCUGGUGACCCUGACACGAUGCGAAAAUAGCCAGCCACAUGGAGAGCAGGGGACACAGUGCCCAGCCGAGAGUAGCAGUGUGGAGAGCUGCAAAGGUCCAGACCUAAAAAUAAGAAGGAUCGGUAAACGAACCAUCAUGACUCGCUUGCCCUAGCGGAUCGUGACAACCCCUGGUUUCCACAAACCCAUUUUAUCCUCCUCCGCCUACAGAUGACUGGAGUGAUGAUGAACUUAUGACGACAGCUCUGCCACUGCUUGAUAUGCCCAUUCACAGUCUCAGCAUGCAAAUAAGAGCCAGGAGCCAAGUGGCGCUUGGUGCUGAGAGUUCUGGCAGGGGCAGCGCCUCGUUCUUGCUUCCUGGGCACAGCAGGAUUUUCCUGGGUAGGCACAGCCAUCAUCUUGUGUGCCAGUGGAGCCCAGCAAGAUGCCCCAGCGUGGCCUCCCAACCUGCAGCAGCCAGGGCUUCCAUCUCUUGCAGACCCUCGUGAGCUGAUACUGUGCUGGAGAGAAGACCUAGGUGGACAGGUGGCCCCUUCUUCAGGGGAACCAAGCAUGGAUAGCAAAUCAAGCCCCUCUGUACUCAUCCCUGCAAACACCUUGCAAGCCGGUACAGCAGGCAGCACCAGAAUGGACCUGGCCUCCUCUGUUACAGUAACUCUUCAGGACAGCAAAUGUGCACUGUUUGCCUUCAGAUGUCUGGGGACCGCUGGGCCAGGGGUGCAGUGGGCUUGGGAUUGGUUGAUUGUAGACCACAAAGUAGGAUUUUUUGUUCUCCCUAGACUCAUAGAUGGGAAUUUUACUGGGGAGAUUCAGAUAAUGGUUUGGACCCCUGUAUCCCUGUGUCAAAUUUCUGAAGGGUCAUGAAUUGCUCAACUUAUUUCUUUCCAUGUUAAUCCCCCCUGGUAGUUUUCCAUGAGUUAGAGGUAACAGUGUCUUUGAUUUCACUGGGCAGUCGCAGAUCUUCUGGGCACAGUCACUUUCCAGUCAUAGACCCACUCUCAAAUGUGCUCUUUGGCAUCAAAAUGAGAAGCUACAAAUUGCUGGUAUACGUGAUAGUGGUGCUGAUUGUACUGUUACAGCUUUCUCAGCAUGGCCCAGUCAUUGGCCCCUGACUCAAGCUGGUUAAUGUCUAGCUGGGGUUGGAGGCCUCUCUAUUCCAAAACAGAGUGUCAAUUUUGUCACAAUAGAGGACCCUGAAGGUCGCACUGCCACUGUGAAACCUUAUGUACUAUCACUCCAUGUUACUUUGUGGGGAUAAGACUGCCCUAGCCAAUGGGGUCUUGUGUUGGGAACAAAUUUAUCAUAGGGGCAGCCAUAGCUAUCAAAGCCGACACUUGAUACAGAGCAGAAGACCUGAGGGACAUCUCGCCUUAGUCAAACCAUUUGUGUUACCAGUUGCUUGCCUUUUUUAGCAAUGUAUUUUAUUGUGAAUCUUUCAGUACAGCUAUUUAGUAUUAUAUGACUAAAUUUUUAUUGUUAUAGCCUUCAGUGUAAAAUCCCAUUAUUUUAAGCUCAACUUUAUCUUACAAGCAAUCUUUAAAAGCUGCAACAGUUUAAUUCCUACAGUAAAUUCAUGUUGCUAUCUCAAUACAGUUGUUUACUUGCAUAGUUACCUUGAUGUUUAAUUGUUAUAUGACAAUUUUUCAAUAACCUUUUUGUAAUAAUAGUUUAAAUAAUUUAAUUCCUCUUAAGAAUAAUUUUGUUUCAUCUCAGUGGUGUUAACUUUAAGUUCUUUUAAGUAUAUUUUUUUGUUUUACUGAAGUUAAGUUUUAGUGAAGCUGAUUUUAAGUUUUGUUGAAUUAUACCUGUUUGAAUUAUAUCAUUCCUUUGCUGUACAAGUGAAUGACAUAAAGCCUGAAUGAACCGUUGUCAAAAUUUGCUCAUUUAAGUUGCAAGAUACAGCUAUUUUGUUAUAGAAAUAAUAAAAAAAUUUGCUAUUUUAUUUUUUAUAAGCAGCACUAAAGAAUAAGUAACAUUUUCAUAUUAUCACUGCUCAAUUGUAAGCUGAUGCCUUUUUUAUUAGUAUUUAGCUAAAAAUGCAUGACAAAGCCAGAUGCUUUACGAGCCUUCACAUACUAUUGUAUAGCUAUUUAUAAGACGUAUUAUUUUAAAGAACUUUCCUAACUACUAAGAGGUUUUUAGAAUACAUUAAAAAGGCUCUUCCAGUUAAGGCCUGGACCUUGGCCAAGUCCUAGCCUUAACUAGUGAAGAAAUAUAUCAAUAAACCCAAGUGUUUUCUACAUCAAAACUAUACUCAAGUAGUUUGACUUGCCAAAUUUAGACUUAUAAUAGCUAAACCUCCUUUUAAAGUGAACUUGGAGUACUUACCCAGGAAUAGUUCUCCAAGCCCUCACUUUAAAAUGAAGCUUGCCAAUUACUACAGACUCUAAGUAAUAUUACAAUAUUUUAGAAAUUAAUAAUGCAUUGUUUUAAAUCACCAUUCUAUUUUUCAUGUACUACUAAUUGUAUAUAUUAUCUGAUUUAUUUUUACUUAGUGUAAGUUUAUUGUUUUGCUUUUAUGUUACUUUCAUGUUCAUAAUGAGAAACACACAUGCUAUUAAAAAACAA